rnacentral:rRNA from 1 species
GACGAACGCUGGCGGCGUGCUUAACACAUGCAAGUCGAACGGAAAGGCCCUGCUUUUGUGGGGUGCUCGAGUGGCGAACGGGUGAGUAACACGUGAGUAACCUGCCCUUGACUUUGGGAUAACUUCAGGAAACUGGGGCUAAUACCGGAUAGGAGCUCCUGCUGCAUGGUGGGGGUUGGAAAGUUUCGGCGGUUGGGGAUGGACUCGCGGCUUAUCAGCUUGUUGGUGGGGUAGUGGCUUACCAAGGCUUUGACGGGUAGCCGGCCUGGGAGGGUGACCGGCCACAUUAGGACUGAGGUACGGCCCAGACUCCUACGGGAGGCAGCAGUGGGGAAUAUUGCACAGUGGGCGGAAGCCUGAUGCAGCAGCGCCGCGUGCGGGAUGACGGCCUUCGGGUUGUAAACCGCUUUCGCCUGUGACGAAGCGUGAGUGACGGUAAUGGGUAAAGAAGCACCGGCUAACUACGUG